rnacentral:lncRNA from 1 species
GUAAGACUGGAGCUCAGUGAAUGAGAAAAUCCUAUGUGAUCCUUAGUUAUCUGGGUUUCCUGACUUUGCCAAGCUCCUUAAGUUUCUAGCCCUUACUCUGCUGACAGACACCUAUGAAGAAAUUGGGGGGAUCUUUAGCCUGGAGAAGAGAACAUUUACAAGGGGACAGGAUAAUUUUCUUCAAAUAUUUGUAGGUCUGUCAUGUGGAAGAUGGAUUAAGACUUGCUCUGCUUAGCACCAGAGGCCAAACCUAGAAAGAAUGCCUGAAAGCUGCAGAGAGGCAAAAGUAAGCUGAAUGUCAGGAAGAAGAAAACUUCCUAACAACUAGAGAUGUUGGAAGGUAUAACCAGAUGCUUCCCAAGCCAAGAGGUUCCUCAUUAUUGGAGAUCUUCAAGCAAAGGCUGGAGGAUCCUUCAUUGGGAAAGAAAGGAACAAUGCAGUGUAUAAUUUGGACAAGCUCUUCCUGCUCUAAGGACCAAGAAGGGAAGGAAGACAACCACUCAUCUGCUGCAGGAGAAAGUCAAUUCUGAAGCAUCUUUCAUCACUAACAGAGUUACAAUGUAGAUAUGGUUUAGGGAGAAGGGGAUGUUGAUUAUUUGGUUAUAGAGAGAAAAACGUUGAUUCUCUGUCUCACUUCCUUAGCUUUUAGUAUGAUUGCUAAAAAUGAACAUAAUUGGAGCUAAUUCUCUUCUACAAAAUAAAAUGAUCACUAAUAUUAAACA